UCUGGUGUGUGUCGCCUCGCUGGCAUCGCUGGAAUAUUGCUAAAAACGAAGCGUAAAAAGAGCCAAACUCCUCACCUCACUUGUUUAGAGCAACAUAAAAAUGCUAUGUUUUUUUCCUUUCAUCUGACAAAAUAUGUAACUUACGCAAAUAUGGAGGACAUGUGUUUGUGAUAAAAGGUCGAUAUUAUGUACUUUUGACAGAAAACAGGGCUAUAUAACAAAAAAUCACACAAUUUAAAGCGUAUUAACCAGUUUGUGAAUGAAUUGAAUUGUGUAAAACAUUCCACUUAUCCGGAAAGCAAUGUUUCCGGCAAUACAAAGAACUACACGUCAAUAAACGUUUAUGGAUGAAGCCAGUUGAUUAACAUUUGAAAUAUUUGUUCAGCAAUAUAUAUCAAGUCAAAGCUCCACGAUGUUAUUUUCGCCCAGGGUGUUCACAAGGAAGGCGGUUCUAGUGCGAAGAUGAUUGUAACUGCUGAUGUUCUAACAUAGACUUAUGGCAAUUAUAGUGUUAUAAUCUCUGUGGGAAACAAGUGUAAUCAUUAGCGAUACCCCAGUAGUUUACUGCAACAGACUUACGGAUUACCAUAACUUUAGGAUGUCUUUGUAAAACAGGUGACAGAUUAGGAUUACGUUUUGACGUAUCUGCCGCCUUGCCCUCUCCUGGUUUCCCCAUACCGUGAUAUUGCUGGCAUAUUUGCUGAAAACAAAACUCAUUCACUUUUCAUCCCAUGCCGCUCCCCGAUUGCCUAUGCUGGAGAGUACCCUAUUGAAUUAACCCUAGGACGUUCUGUAUCAUGUGUGAACAUUGACAUGACUGCAAUCCGAUCCGAUCCCUUUGCGAAUCUUACGAAACCAGUUAGUCGCCAACUGGAUGUGUAUUCCUAGUAGAUGCCGUAUUUCGGUCGCUGACCCACAUCCGCACGUGCUCUCUGACGGCCCCCGGACUAUCCACGGCACCGGUAAUGACCGAUAAUCGCGCUUUAAUCCGCACGGCUUGGGUGAAUGCCCAAGUUUGAGUGAGCCAUUUUUCUGAGUGUGCUUUUCCAUGUAUCCUGCUAUGCUAAGCUGCGCUUGUUAAUGUAUCGUUUGUAUUGUUUAAUAAGAUCAUUGAAGAGUCGAGAAUCGUGUCACCGGGCUGAUUGUUUCCAGCUUACUGGAAUGUCUGGUCUUAACACAGUUUGUUUACAUGUAGUUGUUAUUUGCAUGCCAAAAGGUACGCAUAUGUAAAUCCUUACAGAAACAAAGGCAUAUAUUUUGUGCCCAUUGUAACGGGCCGAAAUUUUCCACCGACGCUUCGGAUUUUUUAGUGAAAUCCAUCACUAUGUCGUGUUCAUUAGUUCACAGUGCCUUUACUACGAAUGGAUGCUGUUUCGGCAAAGACUGAUCUAUCUUCCAAAUAUCCUACAAUUACGAUUUAGGGUGGGCUAAUCCAGUAGUAAUUAAAGGUCAACUUC